rfam:Comamonas sp. SCN 67-35 ABT03_C0022, whole genome shotgun sequence.
CGCUUUUUUCGCCCAGGCGGAGCUCGACCGCAAUUUGAAGAGAUGAAGCACUUCAUCGAUGAACACCGCGGCACCUACGGGGUCGAGCCCAUCUGCAAGGUCCUGCAGCUGGCCCCG